AUAGACUGGAAAACUCUUAUUCCCAAGAAGUUAUUUUGACUUUUAAGCAGGGAAUCCUGUAAAAGGUAGACUAUUAUAAACUCUCCUCAAGCAAAAUAUUUGCUUUAUGUAAAUAGACUUCUCAAGGUAAUAAAUAAUUAAGGAACCUCAAAAUAAAAUAAUGUAUGAAGCUCUGAAUCCCUAACCAAAAAGAUUUCCAAAGAUUUACCUUUGGAAAUAAUCCAUCUCUAAGGAGAAAUACUGAAAACAUACCAACUGCCCUAAGUUCCAAAAUCAUAAGCAACAAUUAAGAGCAAUAAUUAAAAUGGAGAGUCCUGUGUUGAGGAAUUGCAAAGACCUGGGUACUAAUUCUUUUCUCCCAGGCAAGUUACUUAACCUCCCAGAGUUUAGAUGUUCAUCUGCAAAACAGGAAUAACAGCACCUGCUCUGCCAGCUUGCACAGCAGUUGUGAGGAUCAAAUGCAGAGGCGGCAAUAAAAGGGCAGCACCACCUGUACCUCCGAGACAAUCCAGGUAUACAAGGUACAAUGAGGUCUGGCCCCAGGGCUGACCUCAGACUGUGCCUUAACACUCUGUGUCUUACUGCAUCAUUUCUGGAAGGUUAUUUCAGAAGGUGGUAAUUACAGAGAGUAAAUUAGGGCUAAAGCAGGAUGAGAACUUGCUUGGAUGUUCUGUUGAGGAAAGAGAGGUGGAAGGAGCAAAGGGCUCAGCACCCAAAACUCUGGGAAUCACUCAACUUUAGAGAAAGAAAGCAAAAGCACUUUUAAAAUGAGUUAAGUGGAAGACGAACAGACAAAUGAGGUAACUUCUAUAAAGAUGGAGGUUGCUUCUGGCUCAUCAGCCAUCGUUGAUGUGCCACAGACCUGAGGGCACGUGACCCAGGAAUGUGCAUCCAAAGAUAAUACUACCUUCAGAGAACUCUACUUAUAGGCUGUGGUUUUUCAAGAAAAAGGAAAAGAUUCAUAAUUCAUUGAGCUCUUUCCUUGUGAGAAGAAAGGCCACUCUUUUGUGUGCUGAAGUUGGACAACAGUUCCCAAGGAAGCUGAAUUCUAGCUGUUUAUUGUUAUUGGGUUUUGCACUAUGCCCUUUAUGUUGUCAUUAAUCAAUAAAUACGUGUGGAACAAAUGAUUAACUAGAUGAAUGAUCUCCAGGUUUUCUGAUAAUGCCAUGAGUAAAAUCAGUAGAAUCAAACAUCUACUUAGAAUACCAUUUUAUAUAGUUUUGCUUUCUGCUUUAGCACUUCUAACCUCUAGAGAAUGUUCUGUAACUCCCACCACGAUUUAAAAAUAAGCCAUAUGUGUAUGUAAUCAAAAUAUACAACACACGUUAUUUUUACAGUCUGCAUAAUAAUAUAUCAAUACUAGACAUGUAUUGCUACUUCUUGUUGUCACUGGAUAAAUUCUGCUCACUAAAUGUGACCUUGACUACUGUGUGUGUGUGUGUGUGUGUGUGUGUGUGUGUGUGAAUGUGAGUGUGUGAGUAUGUAUGUGUCUGUGUGUGUGUGAGUGUUUAUGUAUUGGGAGGCAGGGAGAAGAAACUGAAGAAUAAAAAGGAAGGACGAUACAGUUGCCUCAGCUAUUCUGUUUGGUGAAAUUGAAUCACUGAAGCAGCUGAGGCAGAGAGCUUUUCCUUCAGGAUUCACGGCCUAUUUCUCAGUUCUGGGAAGACAACUCUAACAACUCAACAGAGUGAAGAGAGAUAAAGAUGUUGGGAAUGACUGAUUUCAAACAAUCAAAACUGCUUUGGGGAUGAGGAUGAAGUUGGGACAUUACUGCCUUGUAUACCACAUACUAUAAUAUUUAUUAUGUCUAUUGUUUAUUGUGUGUGUCCUUCUUUAGAAUUUUAACUCCCCAAGGGCAAAGAUCCCUGACUGUUUUGCUUAUCAAUGUAUCCAAAAGGCCUAAAACAGAGCCUUGUACCCUAUACACACUCUGCAAAUAUUUGCUGAAUUGAAUAAAAGGCUGCCGAUCUAUAAACUAUGCUGCUUUCAAAUAAAACUAAGACAAGGACAUUGAUAGCAUAUCCUCAUCCCCUGUCUGGCCCCUUGGAUUUGAUUUGAGCCUCUGUGAUUAGAAUGAUGAAGUCUGUUGGGGCUGUUUUCAGGAGAGGUUGUGAGACUCUAGGCACCAGAAGAGCUGCCCUGGGACACAGAGAGGAAAAAGUAAUAAAUAAUGGAGAAGAAAAAAAAAAAAACCAUGGGAAACAAACAAACUCAAACUAGAAAUGAAAUAAGCUAUGGCUUCUGUAAUCCUCCUGCACAUAACAACUAUGGGUUUUGGACAAAAUACAAAAAGCAGCUAUCCAGAGGCACUGAAGAGAAGCCAAGCAGGCAGACAAUGGAGGGGAAUCUGCAUAUGGAAGAAGGAGAUGACAGUGGGAAAGUUCCCAUUAUUACAGCUCUUUGCUGGAAAGCCGGUCCCAAUCCAUGCCAAAUAAAGGUUACUAAAACAUGAAUAGAAAAUCUGUAGUCUUACUGGCAUGAAGAGCCAGGAGACAGGGUUCAUGGUGAUUAUAGCAACCAGAAAGUGAGAAGGGGGAAAUCUUGGAAAAAUGAGAGCCAAAGAGGGGGAAGUAACAUGUUCUAUGUAUAAACUCUGCACAAGUCAUUGGCUGACUCAUGAACCAUGUGUGCAAAUAGCCCAGCUAAGGCUAGAAGAACCAAACAGAGAUUUCUGUUGCUGUGCACUGGAGACAGUUUACAGUUUGAAGUAGUUAAAUUAGCUGCCUGCUUAAAACAAAUCAUCACUCUUCAGAGGAAUAUAACAGAACCCAGAGGCUCUGCAACAUAUCAUUCACAGUUUUCUGGAUAAUAUCUAAAAUACUAGGCAUAUGAAGAAAAAAAGAAAAUGUAAGCCAAAAACAAUCAAUGCAGACUGACACUCAGAUAAAUAAUUAGCAGACAAAAAUUUUAAAUCAGCUAUUUUAACUAUGCUCAUGAAUGUAAAGGAAAAUAGGUUUGUAAAGAAUUAACAAAUACAAAAUCUCAGAGAACUAGAAACUAUUAAAAUGAUCAAAUAAAAAUUCUAAGACCAAAAACUGUAAUAAAAUAUUUGAAAUAAAUGUUGCCAUAUGGGCCUGACAGUAAAUGGAAAUGACUGAAGAAAAACCGAGAGAAUUUGAAGACAGAUCAAUAUAACUAAUUCUAUCUAAAGAAUAUAGAGGAAAAAUACUGGGAAAAAUGAGCAGAGCUUCAGGGACUUGUGGGACAAUACUGAAAGAUCUAGCAUACAUAUAACUAAGUUUCAGAAAGAAAAGAGACAGAGAAUGGAAUAGAAAAAAUAUUGAGGAAGAUGUAAUAUACAUGAUAAAUGUAUAUUAGCAGAAGUGAGUCUACUUUAAAAUGUAAUUUUAGAUUUCAGAUAUAUAUGUGGUAGAAAUAAAAAAUUCAAAGAUAAUUGAUAUAGAAGAUAAUAACAAGGAUAUCCAAAUUGUGUGAAAAAUGUUCUGGAGAUCGAACAAAUAGCAAAAGUACAAAAAGAUCAAAUCACACCAGAGUAACACUCUUCAGAACUGAAAAAAAGUAAUAUCAUAAACCAAGAAAUAUCCUUAGACACUUAUAACUGAG
rnacentral:lncRNA from 10 species